AGCCAUUUCAGGUCUUGCCUUUCCCAGUUAAACUCGAUAUCAGCAACCUCUGUUUUCUGGCAUCAGCUGAAAGCAGGAGCCAAUCAACAAGGUGGGAGGGUUUUAAAUCGAGGAGCAGGUGGCUCUUUUUCUCUCCUCUGCUGAGACACACGCUUCGCUGGGCCGAAUUCAGUCUCUUGUAUUGACUGGUGAUCUGUCACUUGGGCCUACCCAAAACUCCAAAUGGACUCAUCCGAUGCUGCAUUCACCCUGGCCCGUCCCGCCGAAGAAGUCAGACUGGGAUGGAGAGAAAUCAGGCCGUGGGCACGCAAGGAAAAACUUCUUCUCCAGAGAGAAGCCGAGACGGUCUUGGAAUCUUAGAGCUUUAACGAUGUCUUUCUGAGGCGAUGGGUGACGCCCAGCCGACUGCCUGAUGAUUGUGGCACGGAUGAUGAACAAAGAAAGCUUCAAAGGAAAUAGUUUCCAUCAUCACUACACGUACUUCUUUCGGGCCACGGAGGGUCACCCGUGGCAGCCGCCUUCCGAGAAGCUCUGCAGGAGGGUGGAAUUAUAGUAAUUGCUGAGAUUUGGCUUUGUGAACCUUUCCCCGUCCUCGCUGGCACGUUGAUUUUUCUGUUCUUUAAGGCCUGAUCAUCCCAGGCCUCCACGAUCAGAAGAAUUAUCUUCCAAAACCCCACAUUUCCCAAAGUAAAAUUCGCUCUUGUUGGAGCCUAGUUCAGAACUCGGACUAAUGCGAAGUAAUCUCCUCGUGGGCAGGGAAUGUGUCACUUCUCCGUUUUUCCCUCAUGUUUAGCACAGCGCAUUGGACCCAAAGGGAUGCUUAAUAA